rnacentral:rRNA from 1 species
UUGGAGGGCAAGUCUGGUGCCAGCAGCCGCGGUAAUUCCAGCUCCAAUAGCGUAUAUUAAAGUUGUUGCAGUUAAAAAGCUCGUAGUUGAAUUUCGGGAUCAGUACGCCGGUCGUGCCUUCGGUAUGCACUGGUGUCACUGGUUUCUCCCUUCUGAAGAACCAUCAUGCCAUUCAGUUGGUGUGGCGGGGAAUCAGGACUGUUACUUUGAAAAAAUUAGAGUGUUUAAAGCAGGCUCGCGCUUGAAUACAUUAGCAUGGAAUAAUGAAAUAGGACGUUUGACCCUAUUUUGUUGGUUUCUAGGAUCGAUAUAAUGAUUAAUAGGGAUAGUUGGGGGCAUUAGUAUUCAAUUGUCAGAGGUGAAAUUCUUGGAUUUAUUGAAGACUAACUACUGCGAAAGCAUUUGCCAAGGAUGUUUUCAUUAAUCAAGAACGAAAGUUAGGGGAUCGAAGACGAUCAGAUACCGUCGUAGUCUUAACCAUAAACUAUGCCGACUAGGGAUCGGAUGAUGUUAAUUUUUUAAUGACUCAUUCGGCACCUUACGGGAAAC